UACGUAGGUGGCGAGCGUUGUCCGGAUUUACUGGGCGUAAAGGGAGCGUAGGCGGACUUUUAAGUGAGAUGUGAAAUACUCGGGCUCAACUUGAGUGCUGCAUUUCAAACUGGAAGUCUAGAGUGCAGGAGAGGAGAAUGGAAUUCCUAGUGUAGCGGUGAAAUGCGUAGAGAUUAGGAAGAACACCAGUGGCGAAGGCGGCUCUCUGGUCUGCAACUGACGCUGAGGCUCGAAAGCAUGGGUAGCGAACAGG
rnacentral:rRNA from 1 species